AGUGAACGCUGGCGGUAGGCCUAACACAUGCAAGUCGAACGGCAGCACAGUAAGAGCUUGCUCUUACGGGUGGCGAGUGGCGGACGGGUGAGGAAUACAUCGGAAUCUACUUUUUCGUGGGGGAUAACGUAGGGAACCUUACGCUAAUCCCGAAUACGACCUACGGGUGAAAGCAGGGGAUCUUCGAACCUUGGGCGAUUGAAGAAGCCGAUGUCGGAUUAGCUAGUUGGCGGGGUAAAGGCCCACCAAGGCGACGAUCCGUAGCUGGUCUGAGAGGAUGAUCAGCCACACUGGAACUGAGACACGGUCCAGACUCCUACGGGAGGCAGCAGUGGGGAAUAUUGGACAAUGGGCGCAAGCCUGAUCCAGCCAUACCGCGUGGGUGAAGAAGGCCUUCGGGUUGUAAAGCCCUUUUGUUGGGAAAGAAAAGCAGCAGGUUAAUACCCCGCUGUUCUGACGGUACCCAAAGAAUAAGCACCGGCUAACUUCGUG
rnacentral:rRNA from 1 species